GAAAUGCGAUACUUGGUGUGAAUUGCAGAAUCCCGUGAACCAUCGAGUCUUUGAACGCAAGUUGCGCCCGAAGCCAUUAGGCUGAGGGCACGUCUGCCUGGGCGUCACGC
rnacentral:rRNA from 1 species